rnacentral:tmRNA from 1 species
AACUGUCUAUUUUGUAUAUACUGCUUGAAUCGUUGUAAUUCCUCUGGAGUUAAACGGCGUUGGAAGGGGGUUCGAUUCCCCCCGCCUCCACCAAAAGAGCUGUCGGUUUGCCGGAUGUCCACUAAUACUGGAAUGGCCUACUAACCUAACAACUCUUCUGACGGGGGCGCCAGGCUUCGACAGCGUUGGGAGAUGAAGGCGGCAACGGCAGUAGGCGAACACUGCGGCACUUGUGCCAUGAAGUAGCAAAAAAGUAUUCGCAAACGACGAAUCUUAUCGCCUGGUCGCUUGACCAAGCCGGGGUUUGAAGGAGCCUUGUUAAGCAAUUCCUUCACAGAGGCCCCUUAACUGGGGCUUUUGUUUUUUUCAAAGGACAAAACAUGG